ACGCACGCUGGCGGCGUGCUUAACACAUGCAAGUCGAACGGAAAGGCCCUGCUUUUGUGGGGUGCUCGAGUGGCGAACGGGUGAGUAACACGUGAGUAACAUGCCCUUGACUUUGGGAUAACUUCAGGAAACUGGGGCUAAUACCGGAUAGGAGCUCCUGCUGCAUGGUGGGGGUUGGAAAGUUUCGGCGGUUGGGGAUGGACUCGCGGCUUAUCAGCUUGUUGGUGGGGUAGUGGCUUACCAAGGCUUUGACGGGUAGCCGGCCUGAGAGGGUGACCGGCCACAUUGGGACUGAGAUACGGCCCAGACUCCUACGGGAGGCAGCAGUGGGGAAUAUUGCACAAUGGGCGGAAGCCUGAUGCAGCAACGCCGCGUGCGGGAUGACGGCCUUCGGGUUGUAAACCGCUUUCGCCUGUGACGAAGCGUGAGUGACGGUAAUGGGUAAAGAAGCACCGGCUAACUACGUG
rnacentral:rRNA from 1 species